UGUGAAUUCUCCCUUGCCUUCAUACUGAC
rnacentral:piRNA from 1 species